UACGUAGGGGGCAAGCGUUGUCCGGAUUUAUUGGGCGUAAAGAGCUCGUAGGCGGUUUGGCAAGUCAGAUGUGAAAUCUCCAGGCUCAACCUGGAGGGGUCAUCUGAUACUGCCAUGACUAGAGGUCGGUAGGGGAGUGUGGAAUUCCUGGUGGAGCGGUGAAAUGCGCAGAUAUCGGGAGGAACACCUAUGGCGAAAGCAGCUGCCUGGGCCUUUACUGACGCUAAGACUCGAAAGCUAGGGGAGCAAACAGG
rnacentral:rRNA from 1 species